rnacentral:rRNA from 1 species
UACGGAGGGAGCUAGCGUUGUUCGGAAUUACUGGGCGUAAAGCGCACGUAGGCGGCGACUCAAGUCAGAGGUGAAAGCCCGGGGCUCAACCCCGGAACUGCCUUUGAAACUAGGUUGCUAGAAUCUUGGAGAGGUCAGUGGAAUUCCGAGUGUAGAGGUGAAAUUCGUAGAUAUUCGGAAGAACACCAGUGGCGAAGGCGACUGACUGGACAAGUAUUGACGCUGAGGUGCGAAAGCGUGGGGAGCAAACAGGG